GAUGAACGCUGGCGGCGUGCCUAAUACAUGCAAGUCGAGCGAACAGACGAGGAGCUUGCUCCUCUGACGUUAGCGGCGGACGGGUGAGUAACACGUGGAUAACCUACCUAUAAGACUGGGAUAACUUCGGGAAACCGGAGCUAAUACCGGAUAAUAUAUUGAACCGCAUGGUUCAAUAGUGAAAGACGGUUUUGCUGUCACUUAUAGAUGGAUCCGCGCUGCAUUAGCUAGUUGGUAAGGUAACGGCUUACCAAGGCAACGAUGCGUAGCCGACCUGAGAGGGUGAUCGGCCACACUGGAACUGAGACACGGUCCAGACUCCUACGGGAGGCAGCAGUAGGGAAUCUUCCGCAAUGGGCGAAAGCCUGACGGAGCAACGCCGCGUGAGUGAUGAAGGUCUUCGGAUCGUAGAACUCUGUUAUUAGGGAAGAACAAAUGUGUAAGUAACUAUGCACGUCUUGACGGUACCUAAUCAGAAAGCCACGGCUAACUACGUG
rnacentral:rRNA from 1 species